GAUGAACGCUAGCGGCAGGCUUAAUACAUGCAAGUCGUGGGGCAGCAGGACUGUAGCAAUACAGUUGCUGGCGACCGGCAAACGGGUGCGGAACACGUACGCAACUUACCCUGAACUGGGGGAUAGCCCGGGGAAACCCGGAUUAAUACCCCGUAAUAUAAUGGAGUGGCAUCACUUUAUUAUUAAAGCUCCGGCGGUUCGGGAUGGGCGUGCGGCUGAUUAGGUAGUUGGUUGAGGUAACGGCUCACCAAGCCUACGAUCAGUAACUGGUGUGAGAGCACGACCAGUCAGACGGGCACUGAGACACGGACCCGACUCCUACGGGAGGCAGCGGUAAUGAAUAUUGGGCAAUGGAGGCAACUCUGACCCAGCCAUGCCGCGUGGAGGAUGAAGGCCCUCUGUAUUGUAAUCUUCUUUUAUAGGGUACGAAACCUGUGUAUUCUUACGCAGUUGACGGUACCCUAGUAAUAAGCACCGGCUAACUCCGUG
rnacentral:rRNA from 1 species